rnacentral:rRNA from 1 species
AUUGAACGCUGGCGGCAGGCCUAACACAUGCAAGUCGAGCGGAUGAAGGGAGCUUGCUCCUGGAUUCAGCGGCGGACGGGUGAGUAAUGCCUAGGAAUCUGCCUGGUAGUGGGGGAUAACGUCCGGAAACGGGCGCUAAUACCGCAUACGUCCUGAGGGAGAAAGUGGGGGAUCUUCGGACCUCACGCUAUCAGAUGAGCCUAGGUCGGAUUAGCUAGUUGGUGGGGUAAAGGCCUACCAAGGCGACGAUCCGCAACUGGUCUGAGAGGACGAUCAGUCACACUGGAACUGAGACACGGUCCAGACUCCUACGGGAGGCAGCAGUGGGGAAUAUUGGACAAUGGGCGAAAGCCUGAUCCAGCCAUGCCGCGUGUGUGAAGAAGGUCUUCGGAUUGUAAAGCACUUUAAGUUGGGAGGAAGGGCAGUAAGUUAAUACCUUGCUGUUUUGACGUUACCAACAGAAUAAGCACCGGCUAACUUCGUG